rnacentral:rRNA from 1 species
GAUGAACGCUAGCGACAGGCCUAACACAUGCAAGUCGAGGGGCAGCAUGGUAUCAGCUUGCUGAUACCGAUGGCGACCGGCGCACGGGUGAGUAACGCGUAUGUAAUCUGCCUGUAACAGAGGGAUAACCCGGAGAAAUCCGGCCUAAUACCUCAUAGCACAUAUUAUUCGCAUGAGUUUUAUGUUAAAGAGACUCGGUUACAGAUGAACAUGCGUUCCAUUAGCUGGUUGGCGGGGUAACGGCCCACCAAGGCAACGAUGGAUAGGGGUUCUGAGAGGAAGGUCCCCCACACUGGUACUGAGACACGGACCAGACUCCUACGGGAGGCAGCAGUGAGGAAUAUUGGUCAAUGGGCGAGAGCCUGAACCAGCCAAGUCGCGUGGAGGAAGACUGCCCUACGGGUUGUAAACUCCUUUUACCUGGGAAUAACGGGGCGCUACGCGUAGCGCUGUGCAUGUACC